rnacentral:rRNA from 1 species
GUCUGUAGGUGGUUUUAUAAGUCUUAUUCCAAAGACUCCGGCUCAACCGGAGGCAGGGGUAGGAUACUGUAAGACUAGAGUGAUAUCGGGGUUACUGGAAUUUUUAGUGUAGGGGUAAAAUCCGUGGAUACUAAAAAGAACACCAAGCGCGAAGGCGGGUAACCAGGUAUUUACUGACACUCAGAGACGAAAGCUAGGGUAGCCAAUCAGAUUAGAGACCUGAGUAGUCCUAGCCGUAAACUAUGUAUGUUAAUUCUCUGCAAUUUAUUGUGGGGGAUGUAAGCUAACGCGUUAAACAUACCGCCUGGGGAGUAUAGCCGCAAGGCCGAAACUCAAACGAAUUGGCGGGGAGGCGCACAACCAGUGGAGCAUGUGGUUCAAUUCGAUACAAAGCGAUGAACCUUACCUGGGUUUGACAUUUAUCUGCAAACCCCCAGAAACGGGGGAAUCCUUAGAGGGUGAUAAACAGCUGUUGCAUGGCUGUCGUCAGCUCGUGACGUGAGUUGUUCUCUUAAGUGAGGUAACGAGCGCAACCCCCAUCCGGUGUUAUUGUGUCACCGGAGACUGCCUAGCAUUAUUUUGUUAGGAGGAAGGAGGGGACGACGUCAAGUCAGCAUGAUGCUUAUGUCCAGGGCUACACACAUCCUACAAUGGGGAGGACAAUGGGUCGCGAAACCGCGAGGUGGAGCCAAUCCCACAAACCUUUCCUCAGUUGGGAUUGCAGGCUGAAACUCGCCUGCAUGAACCCGGA